GACGAACGCUGGCGGCGUGCUUAACACAUGCCAGUCGAACGAAAAGAGGGAAAGAGCUUGCUCUUUCCGGAAUUGAGUGGCAAACGGGUGAGUAACACGUAAACAACCUGCCUUCAGGAUGGGGACAACAGACGGAAACGACUGCUAAUACCGAAUAAGUUCCAAGGGCCGCAUGGCCCAUGGAAGAAAAGGUGGCCUCUACCUGUAAGCUAUCGCCUGAAGAGGGGUUUGCGUCUGAUUAGCUGGUUGGAGGGGUAACGGCCCACCAAGGCGACGAUCAGUAGCCGGUCUGAGAGGAUGAACGGCCACACUGGAACUGAGACACGGUCCAGACUCCUACGGGAGGCAGCAGUGGGGAAUCUUCCGCAAUGGGCGAAAGCCUGACGGAGCAACGCCGCGGGAGUGAUGACGGCCUUCGGGUUGUAAAACUCUGUGAUCCGGGACGAAAAGGCAGAGUGCGAAGAACAAACUGCAUUGACGGUACCGGAAAAGCAAGCCACGGCUAACUACGUG
rnacentral:rRNA from 1 species